AUGCACCCCUCGUGCCCCAGAGGUGACCGUGGACCCCCAUGCCUCACAGAUCACCAGCUCCACACAGAGAGCCGGCGACGGGGAGUACGGCUCCGGGGGGCGCGUCGCAGCGGGUGUGCGCGUCCUUGUGUGUCCGAAGCCGGAGCGAACUCGCCUAAGGCCGCGCGUCCUGGGCAGGAGCCCACCCGCGGCCUGAGCCCACGCUGCCCCCAGGCUGCCUCCAGCAGCAGCACUUUCUGCUCACCCUUCUCUCCCGGAGACACUCUCUUUUCUGCCUUGAUCUGCUUCCCGCAACAGAAGGUGAUCCCCCUCCCUCUCAUCCUCCGGAUGGGCUGGUUUUUGACGUGGACCAGACGAGCCCACUCCGUCCCCCUCACCCCUCUCCCGCCCGUCCCUUGUCCUGCUUCCUCCCCGCAGCCGGCCCUGUCUGCAUUGGACACCAGAUGGCCCCCACAACCUUCUUAGAAUGGAUUUGCAUUACAUACCACUCCGUCUCUGGCUCCCUCCCUUUAGGUGUGGGAGUGCUGUUUCUCUAGAAAAAAAAAAAAAGAUAAUUUCAGUACAUGAAAAAAAUGCACAAAUGUUCAUUUCUGUUUCUUCUGGGAUUCUUCUGACGAUAAGUGGGCACUGAAUUCAUGCAGCCCCAGAAGCGUGUCCUGGCUCCUCGACUGUGCCUGGGACCCCCAGGCUCCUGGGCACCAGCCUAGCGCACCCAGAGUCUCCGUGGGAUGGUUCAUUCCUACGCGGGAUAGAAAGAAAUAUAUUUCGAGCUAGGUGUGUUCUCCGUCUGCCCGGCCCUCCGCGGACAUCGGCUUGUCUCCCUGGGGUGUGGACGGCCGACAGCUAACCUGGACCCAAGGAGCCGACCCGCACAGCUGCUCACCCUAGAGCAGAGCAAGGGGAGAGCGAGAUACAUUUUUCACGAUCCGCGCUUCGGAUCCUCUGUUACUGUCCUUACAGAUCGUGGGAGGCUGUUUGUGGGGCUUCCAGUGACCAGUGCAGGGGAACCCAGGGAGGAUGAGCAGGUCCUGCGGGAGGGGAGGGGAAAUAGCAGCCCACCCACACCACGAAGAACCCGAACCCCGCAGUCAGACCGAAGGAUGCAGGUAGCUCUUAAAGGGCCGGCGGGCCCACCAGGUACGAGCUCUGCGCCCACCACCUCCUCCAGCUUCGUUUCUCACUUGCACAGAGGUGUGUCGUCGGGAAUUCAAUUAACGACUCCGAUCGCCCUUCCCUGAGAGAUGCAGAUGCCCGCGUCUUCCCGAGCAGACGUGCUGCAAAUCCAGUGGGGCGGUCUCUGGUGCUGGGCUGUCUGUGGGGAGGCGCAGCGCAAGCUCCGGGACCCUCCUGCGUCUGUUCCCCAUCACCCUUGGGAAGCUGGGGAGGGGCGGGAGGGAUGAACGGAACUGCACUGGGCAUUUGCCCCGGGUCCACUCCUUUUUUUUUUUUUUUUUAAGAUUUACUC
rnacentral:lncRNA from 12 species